AACGAACGCUGGCGGCGUGCCUAACACAUGCAAGUCGAGCGCGAAAGGAGCAAUCCGAGUAGAGCGGCGCACGGGUGCGUAACACGUGGAUAAUCUGCCUCAGGGUCGAGGAUAACCUUCCGAAAGGUUGGCUAAUACUCGGUAAGCUUACGGUGACUUCGGUCGCUGUGAGAAAACUAGACCUCUAUUUAUAAGUUUAGGCCCAGAGAUGAGUCCGCGGCCCAUCAGCUAGUUGGCGGGGUAACGGCCCACCAAGGCUACGAAGGGUAGCUGGACUGAGAGGACGAUCAGCCACACUGGAACUGAGACACGGUCCAGACUCCUACGGGAGGCAGCAGUGGGGAAUUUUCCACAAUGGGCGAAAGCCUGAUGGAGCAACGCCGCGUGUGUGAUGAAGGUCUUCGGAUCGUAAAGCACUUUCGACUGGGACGAAAAACCUUUGGCUAACAUCCAGGGGCCUGACGGUACCAGGAGAAGAAGCACCGGCUAACUCUGUGCCAGCCGCCGCCGUAAUAC
rnacentral:rRNA from 1 species